UUGAUAUGAGCUUCAAAGGGUUGAGUUUUCAUCUGCUGGGGCUCUAACAGCGCCUCCUGUUGGCCUUUUCUCAUCAGGCAGUCAUGGAGGAGAGCAGUGAGGAGGAGACCUGCAGCAUGCUGCCCAACCUUCUCCCUCUCAGCAGCGACAUUCGAACUCGCAUGGAGCAGUUUGUGCAGGAUCGCUUGGAGGCCAACAUGUGGGUGUCCGUGCUGCUGGGCGCCGUGGCAACCGUCUCUGUCGUUGGACUGGUCGUGCUUCUCCUCUACAGAAGAUACAAGCUGUCAA